GUACGCUGGCGGCACGCCUAACACAUGCAAGUCGAACGAAGUAGCAAUACUUAGUGGCAGACGGGUGAGUAACAUGUGGGUCUCUGCCCUUUGGCCUGGAAUAACACGAGGAAACUUGUGCUAAUACCGGAUAAGUCUUUACGGAGAAAGCUUUAUGCACCAUUGGAUGAGCCCGCACUUGAUUAGUUAGUUGGUAGGGUAAUGGCCUACCAAGACUGUGAUCAAUAGCUGAUUUGAGAGGAUGAUCAGCCACAUUGGGACUGAGACACGGCCCAAACUCCUACGGGAGGCAGCAGUGGGGAAUCUUGCACAAUGGAGGAAACUCUGAUGCAGCGAUGCCGCGUGAGUGAAGAAGGCCCUUGGGUUGUAAAGCUCCUUCGUCGGGGAAGAAAAUGACUGUACCCGAAUAAGAAGGUCCGGCUAACUUCGUGCCAGCAGCCGCGGUAAUACGAAGGGACCUAGCGUAGUUCGGAAUUACUGGGCUUAAAGAGUUCGUAGGUGGUUGAAAAAGUUGGUGGUGAAAUCCCAGAGCUUAACUCUGGAACUGCCAUCAAAACUUUUCAGCUAGAGUAUGAUAGAGGAAAGCAGAAUUUCUAGUGUAGAGGUGAAAUUCGUAGAUAUU
rnacentral:rRNA from 1 species